CUCGGGACUUCCCUAUUAUGGAGGCAGUGUCCAAGGAAGGUGUGUUGAAUCUUGAAAAGCCUGUGCUUUUUUUUUCCCUCUUCUUUUUUUUUUUUUUUAAAGAUUUUUUUUCAUUUAUCUGACAGAGAGAGAGAUCACAAGUAGGCAGAGAGAGAGGGAGAAGCAGGCUCCCCACUGAGCAGAGAGCCCGAUGCAGGGCUCGAUCCCAGGACCCUGGGAUCAUGACCUGAGCUGAAGGCAGAGGCUCAAUCCACUGAACCACCCAGGUGCCCCUCUUCUUCUUUUUAAGACUUUACUUAUUUUAGAGCGAGAGAGCGUGUAUGCGUGGGGGAGGGGGAGGGGGUGGCCGGGGGAGAAGCUCAAGGAGACUCUGCCCUGGGCACAGAGCCCGACACAGGGCUCAGUCUCACAACCCUGAGAUCAUGACCCAAGUCGAAAUCGGGAGUUGGAUGCUCUACGGACCGAGCCCCGCAGGCGCCCCAGGCCUGCGCUUUCUCAGAUCGGACUCUGCGACAGUCAUCUGAAGUCACAACUCUUUGCUUCCUCACUGCUUUAUUUUUCAGCGACAACCGGAUGUUCAGAAGCCAGGCUCCAGGGCAGAAAUCAGGCUCGUGCUGUCUCCAUGGCAUGUGGUGCCUGCGAAAUGAAAGGGUGGAGGGCUGUUCUCAACUCUUAGAGAAACAUCCCAGAACACAGGACAUCAGACGUAGUGUGCCCUGAAUGGCCAUGUUAUCCUGGCCACCAGGACGGGAAAAGAGAAUACUCUCACUGUUCAUAGCUCCAGGGAAGGAAAUGCAGACCACCUCUGGGAGAACAAAGAAUGAAAUGAGAGGGUCUCCUGAUCCAGAGGGAGAAGCAAGCAAGCUUUUGCUGCGGGCCUCCCGUGUGCCAGCCACUUGCACUUUGGAUCUCCUGAAAACUCUGGGAGCCUCUCUUACCACCAUUCUGCACCUGAGAACACUUGGAAGCACUGGUGGGGCUGUAGGAAUUCAAACCCAGGACUGUUUGGCCUGUAGAAAUCAAGGCUUUGUGCUGCGUUCUGUCCUUCCACACGUGUGUUGGCAAGAGGUUCUCCCCAGGGGUAUGUCUCUUAAUAUAGGACUUGAGAGAAUGAAGUGGAAGCACAACGUGUGUUUCCAACCAGGAUAUGACAACUUGAUGCCAGUGCGGAGAAUGAGAACAGAUGGGAGAGAAGGACGCCUCAGGCCAAGAGCUGCGUCCCUUCUAAUUCAGCCACCAUGCUCGUUCCCCUAAUGCCAGCCAUGGUUAAUGGGAGCAGCAGCGAGCUCUCCCAGUUAACCCUCACAACAUGUGACAGGUGAUUGGGAGACGGGGAUUUUUAGUAUCAGAUGAGGAAACUGAGGCACAGAGAUUUUAACCUACUUGCUCAUGAUCUCAAUAUAAGUGGCAGUCUUGGGAUUUCCACCCACAUUUUGCUUUUAGGACCAGUCUUAGAGACAGCAUGACUUUGGGUGAGGAAGGGGGGUCUUAAGAGACCGGAAGUGACCUCCCCAAAGUCUUGACUUGUUCAUCUAAUGACAUUGUUUAUUCCCUGAACCGAUACUCAUUUGUUGUGCUUUCGGUAAAGAGCUAUUGAAAAAUGAACAGUGGGGUGCCUGCCUGACUGGCUUGGUCGGUAGAGCAUGUGACUUGUGAUCUCGGGGUUGUGUGUUCGAGCCCCACAUUGAAUGUAGAGAUUAAGAACAAAAUCUUGAAAAGAAAGAUGAACAUCAAUCGAAGUGUAAAUGUUGGGAGGCUUUUUUAAAAUUUUUGAAAAAGAGUAUAUUAAAAGUAAGGUUGAUUAAGUACCUGAUUUUUUUUUUAAGAUUUUAUUUAUUUAUUUGACAGAGAUCACAAGUAGGCAGAGAGGCAGGCAGAGAGAGGGAAGCACACUCCCCGUUGAGCAGAGAACCCAAUUCUGAUUUUUUUGAUUGAAUAUUCUGGACUCUUCCUUUACUCUGAAACAGAUGUUUCUUCCCAGGGCUGACUGCGCUGGGGCAUCAUCAAUCUCCAAGUUUAAGGAAAAGCGGUAGUGGUUGUAAACCUUCCUCGCCACACGGGGGCAGCACCAAACAGCGCAGGUCGCUCUCUGGGGCUUGGUUCUUUGGGAGGGCGAAGUCGCUCCGGCGGAGCUAGGUUAUUCCCCCAUUACACCUGUUUCCUCUUACUAAAGCCACGGGGACCGGUGGCGAGGCUUUAUAGAUCAGAAACCAAAUUACAACAGCGGCAAAACUGCACAAGGAAAAUUACUGAAAUUCCUUGUAAUAAUAUAGUUAGGGCUCUUGUUUUCUUUUUAUCAGCCUGACAAACAAUAUAUUUCAUGGACCGUUUGCAUUUCUUAGCCAAGGAAAAUACCCUAGAAUUUUAGUGAGCUUGUUGAAAUUGAAGUCCAUGUAUUCUUGAACUCAAGGGACACAAAGCAGCCAAUAUUCUCUUUUACCUUCCUUGUUGUUAAUAAUUUCUUUGGAGUAUUUAAAGGCUGUAGGAUUUUGUAGCAGGCAGUUGAAGAGAGUGGGAAAAUGUGUUCCUGGCUUCUAGUUUCAAGGGCAUAUGAUGACCACACAGUGUUUUAUCAUUCACCUCUGCCAGGAUCACCAGAUGUUCAACUGAUAACUUCGGUUGAUCUCGAACCCUGUUUCUACUUGGGCACAUCACAGUGGCGCAUCCGAACCUCCAUUUUCCACACCAGAGGCUGGAUUCACUGGAAUUUGAUCAGAGCCACCACAGUAAUUUAUUAUCCAAACUGAGACCCUUUCGAGAGUAAAAGGAGCCACUCAGUAACUUUGCUAGAUCAACAAACACAAACCAGAAUGUCCUAGGGACCACUGGAACGUGUGGUCACAAGGACUACACGUCAUAUCCUUUCAUUUUCUCCCUAUGAUGACUCGAGUUAAGGUUCACUGUAGCACUCUGUUCCUUUGCUUUUCCCAUUCAACAAAUGUUCGCCGAAUGUUCUUUCCGUUUUUAUAAAUGAAAAAAAGUUCGGGGUUUUAUAAAUCACUUGGCAAGAUCACAGAACCCAUAAAUCAGAGCUAAGAUUUUAAUUCAAGCUGUCCCUGCUCUCGUCCAUAUACACUCAAAAUUAUACCGAUGUUUCUGACCAAUCUUGAACCUUUCUGUGGACACAGCCCUUCCAGUAAACUCUCAGGCAUAUAGAGUGUGGUUAAAAACCCAGAACCCUGGGUUCUCCACUUACUAGCCUUGUGCUUCUUUCUCUUUCCUCACCUGUAAAAUGAGUACAGUUAACUUAGUAUUGGCCUCAAAGUGUUGAGGUAAGGAGUAAGUGAAUUAAUACCUUUGACAUUUGAACAAUGUUUUCUACGUUGUGCUUUGCUUAUUUUCUGCUGUUAAAGUAGACAUGUUCUCCAAACCGGGAGAGUUUCCAUUUCUUUCUUGAUGCUGGAGGAGAGCACUAGAGGUGUGUGAUAUUGUGACUUAUAAGAAUAUGUAUUUGGGGAAAAAAAAAAAAGAGAGAAUAUGGAUUUGGUUGUUGAGAUCUGUUUCUCAUGUGUUUGCUCUUGGGUUCCUGGCUUACAGCUCCCAAAACCCUUGGAAUUUCGCAAGUGCUAAGAGUGAGUAAGAGUCUUUUGUUAUGUGAAUGAUGGGAUGUUUGGAGAGCAGCUAAGGCUGGGGACUGGCCAAGCAUGGAGGCCACCAGGUGUUAGACCUUUGAACUUCCAGUUCCAGCGCCGGACCCCUGAGGAUGCGUGGGAAGGCUGGAAAUGGAGUUGCAUCACCAAUGACCAGGGAUUUGGAUCAGUCAUGCCCUUGUAACGAAGCCUCCAUCCAAACCCCAGAAGAUAAUGAACACAAGCAGAUGGGGGAGAGUAGGGUUGCUCGGAGAGGGUGUGGAAGCUAGUAAGGAAAAUGUUUCUGAGUUGGGUGAGCUGCUCUAGCAAAUUAAUGGAACCCGGGGAGCAAGUUGUUGGAACCUCCAGUUUAUAACCUAGCCUUGUGACUGGCAUCAAAGUUGGGGUGGAGGGCAAGGGGGAGUGGGGGUGGGGACAGUCUUGUAGGACCAGCCCCUCAGCCUGUGGGAUCUGAUGCUGUCAGCGGGUAGCUACAGAAUUGAGUUGAACUGUAGGACUCCAGUCGGAGGACUGCCUGCUGGUGUGUGGACAAACCUCCACGCACUUUUUUGGCGAAGGAGGGAAAGCCAUAUUCUCUCCUGGUUCUUCUCCCUCUCUGAUUUUUUCCCCCUUCAGACUUCCCUUCCUUCCCCUGUGGUCCCCAUGCUAUUGCCUGUGUUCCGCAUAUGAGCAAAGCCAUAUAAUUGUCUUUCGCUGCUUGACUUACUUCGCUUAGCAAAAACCACAGUGAGAUUCCACCUCACACCAGUUAGAAUGGCAAAAAUUAACAAAACAGCAAACAACAAAUGUUGGCGAGGAUGCAGAGAAAGGGGAGCCCUCCUCCACUGUUGGUGGGAACGCAAGCUGGUGCAGCCACUCUGGAAAACAGCAGAGGCUCCUCAAGAUGUUAAAAAUAGAGCUACCCCGUGACCCAGCGAUCUCACUGCUGGGUAUUUACCCCACAGUUAGAGAUUUGGUUAAAAGAAGGAGCAUAUGCACCCGAAUGUUCCUAGCAGCAUAUAGCCAAACUGUGGAAGGAGCUGAGAUGCCCUUCAACAGACGAAUGGAUAAAGAAGAUGUGGUCCAUAUAUACAAUGGAAUAUUACCCAGCCAUCAGAAAGGAUGAAUACCCACCAUUUUCGGUGUCUGUGUAGAAGGCAUCACAUCCACUGUCAGCUCAGGGCUGCUCUUCUGUUCCGGGUGGCCUGUGUUCCCUCUAGCACAGGAGGAUCUGUGUGCUGUUUCCUUAAACAGAUUGUCUUUGGUGUUUUAGUGGGGCUUUUUUCCCUCAAAAGUGUGGUUAGUAACUCAGACAGGAGGGGACCAGUUAGGGCAUGGCUGUCAAACAAGGAAGGUAGAACGGACUGAAUGUGGUCACUUGGGGACAGUGUGUAGCAUUUCUUCCUUUUGUUCGCGGCGAGCCCUGUUUCCCAGCCUUGGUCCUUGAGUCCAGCCAAGAAAGCAUUCCGAGCCAAACUCACGCAAGCAAGCGUUUCUAGUGUUCAAAGGGGAAGUGCAUUCUGGGUGGAAGAGCAGGCGGGCCCAGAAGUGGCUACGGCGUGGGGGGCAGGGUCGUCCUGGUUUAUAGACUUCCCUGAGUUGCGAGGUCAGAGAGACGACUGUCUUGGACCGAGAUGGCCUCCUGUCAGCUAAGGAACUCCUCCCACCCGUGGGGAAGGGGAGGUUUCAGUCGUGUCCGGUCCUUGUUGGAACUGCCCCGGCAGCCCUGCCCUGCACGGGGUGUUGGGGGGUGGGUCAGCACGUCAGUGUAAAUGUAGUAUAAUGAAGCUAGAGGUUACCGGAGGACAUCAGCUACAGGAAAGAAUGAUGCCCGUUCCUGGGGUUUUGUCCCACUGUCUGCAUUUGAAGGUGGUUGGCCAUUUCUGCCUUUUUUUUUUUAAGAUCUUAUUUAUUUAUUUGACAGACAGAGAUCACAAGUAGACAGAGAGGCAGGCAGAGAGAGAGAGAGAGGAGGAAGCAGGCUCCCCACUGAGCAGAGAGCCUGAUGCAGGGCUCGGUCCCUGGACCCUGAGAUCAUGACCUGAGUCGAAGGCAGAGGCAUAUCCCACUGAGCCACCCAGGCGCCCCCCAUUUCUGCCUUUUUCAACAGUCGGGCAGUCCUGUUCAGUGCUCCUUUCUGGCCAGCUGCCUCCUCUGUCCAUCUGCUGAUGACAUUCACGCUGGAAACCUCAUAAAGUACCCUGAGAGCCAGCUUGCUGUCUCCUGCAGACAUGUGGCCCCUCACCAGCCCCCCUAUGCUGGGGAGGUAUGCAGCCUCUUCAGCUGGGGUGCACUUGGGGAGGGACCCCCAUUCCGGCUACCUGGCAUCCCUGGCAACGGACAGCAAACAGGUCUGUCACCGAACGAGCCCUCGCAUGUCCCAUGAGUUUUCUUUUUCUUAUACAUCUUUGAAUUUUCUCAUUGCAACGUGCACAUAAUACUUUUUUAUGUUUUGAAACAACCGAGUGAACUUUAGAAAGGAAGAUAAGAUAAGGAGCAUAAUCUCAAAAUAUCUUGAAAGGAUAAAAGAAUAAAAGGAACUUGCGCUGUAGGGUUUCUCGCAAGCUGGUGCAUUGUGUGGCCUUUCAGGAUUUGGUGCUUAAUUACAGAUGCUGUGGGA
rnacentral:lncRNA from 1 species